GACAUCUUGCAAUGUUAACACAGCAGGACAAGCUGAGGAGGAGGAGGUCAGCAGGUCCGCCUCUUUACCAACACUUCCUCCUGGACAUUACGCAGCUCAGACACCGGUCAACAAGCAGGACGUAGAGGACGCUGAACCACAAGACUGAAAACGCCAGCAUAGUGUAUAAUUUUAAGGAUGACAGCCCUGCUUCUGCUCUCUGGAGCCGAAGCAUUGGGGAUGCCUCUGUCCCACUAAGCCGUUGUUCCUCCGCCUCCUCUCCUGACUCCGGCUGCCUGGUCUGUCGCGGUCUCAACCAGUUUGUCUACGUUGUGUGCCGUAAACUGGAAGAUGGUGUUCAACUGACGAUGGAGGCUGGAAGAGCCAUGGUUGACAUCUCAAGGAGUGAAUGUCCCGAACUCUCCUCUGAUGGUGCUUUACAAUGGCUGAUUCCCGUCAUCAUCGUCUCCGUCAUCAUCGUCUCCAUCAUCCUCGUCAUCGCUUUCGGCAUUUAUUGGAGAAAAAGAAGAUAACCGUGCCAAUAAAUGUGGAUUCAAGUAUUUGAAAA